UUUUUUGAGAGUUUGAUCCUGGCUCAGGAUGAACGCUGGCGGCGUGCCUAACACAUGCAAGUCGAGCGGAGUUAGAGAAGGUGCUUGCACCAUUU
rnacentral:rRNA from 1 species